rnacentral:rRNA from 1 species
GGACAAGCUACUAAGGGUAGAUGGUGGAUGCCUUGGCUCCGAGAGGCGAUGAAGGACGCUGCGAGCUGCGAUAUGCUACGGGUAGCCGCUGAGCAGGCUUCGAUCCGUAGAUUUCCGAAUGGGGAAACCCGAUAGGAUUUAAAUCCUAUUACCCUUCCGCAAGGGAGGGAGCCACACGCGCCGAAGUGAAACAUCUCAGUAAGCGCGGGAAAAGAAAGAGCCAUCGAUUCCGUCAGUAGCGGCGAGCGAACGCGGAAGAGCCUAAACCGAUGCACGUGUCAAGCGAGUGGGCGUUGCGUGCGCGGUGUCGUGGGAUGUCCUGUCCCUGCCACUCUGCGGGAGAGGAUUUGACAAACUGCAUUUCUAGCUGAACGGUCUGGAAAGGCCGGCCAUAGAAGGUGACAGCCCCGUAAACGAAAGAGAUGCGGUUUCCUUUGGGAACAUCCCAAGUAACGCCUGCCACGGGAAAACAGGCGUGAAUCUGUGCGGACCAUCGCAUAAGGCUAAAUACUCCUCGGAGACCGAUAGUGAACUAAGUAGCGCGAGCGAACGGUGAAAAGCACCCCGUGAGGGGAAUGAAAAGAUCUGAACCCAUGUACCUACAAACACUCGGAGGCCCGCAAGGGCUGACGUGGUGCCUUUUGCUUAAUGAGUCCGGGAGUUGCUGUGUGGUGCGUGCCUAAGGUGUUCUGCACCGGAGGCGGAGCGAAAGCGAGUCCGAAAUGGGCGAUUCAGUGCCACGUAGCAUACCCGAAUGCCAGUGAUCUACGCACGGCCAAGAUGAACCCUGAGUAACAUCAGGGGGAGGUCUGAACUCUUGAAGGAUGAAAACUUCUGAGAUGAGCUGCGUGUAGGAGCAAAAGACUAGUCAAACUGGCGAAUUGCUGGUUCUCCCCGAAAUAGCUUUGGGGCUAGCCUCGGGAAACUACGACGUGGGGGUAGAGAGACUGAAUGGGUUUUGGGGGUCUACCCGACUACCCUGCCCAACCAAACUCCGAAUACCAUGUCGACUAUCCCGGGAGUCAGAGAGGUGGGGAUAAGCUUGCUUCUCAAGAGGGAAACAGCCCAGACCGCCAGCUAAGGUCCCAAAAUCAGGACUAAGUGUAAAAGGAUGUGGGAAUGCUAAGACAGCCAGGAUGUUGGCUUAGAAGCAGCCACCAUUUAAAAAGUGCGUAACAGCUUACUGGUCGAGCACUGCCGCGCCGAAAAUGAUCGGGCCUCAAGUCCUGUGCCGAAGCUGCGGACUUGCAUCUUUCGUUGAUCGAUGCAUUUGGUAGGGGAGCGUUCCAAACGGCUGCGAAGGUAUCCCGGCAAGGGGUGCUGGAGCGUUUGGAAGUGAUAAUCCGGACUUCAGUAGCGAGCCAAUGCGGGUGAGAAGCCCGCACGCCGUAAGCCUAAGGGUUCCUGGGCAACGUAAAUCGCCCCAGGGUUAGCCGGUCCCUAAGGGGAGGCCAAAAGGCGUACCUGAUGGGAAUGGCGUUAAUAUUCGCCAGCCACCUGUAGAAGGUUAUUACCGCAAGGGGGGGUGGAGGAGGCUAUACCGUCGCACGGUUAGAAAUGUGCGUCCUUGUUCGUAGACGGGGGUUCUUGGCAAAUCCGGAGCCCUGCGCAAGCAACGUUGAGGGAUGAGGCGACCCGGAAGAAAUGAAGGGGAAAUGGUUGAUGCCAUGCUCGCGAGAAAAUCCUCGGCGGGACGAAUGCAGGUGACCGUACUAAAACAGACACAUGUAGGCGAGGAGCGUAUCCUAAGGCGCUCGAGU